rnacentral:lncRNA from 1 species
UCACUUUUCUUCCUCCUGGCAUUUUUCCCCUUCCUCCCCCAGGUUCACAUGGGAAUCAAUUACCUUCCCAUGUGAUGUUAAGAUGUCCCUGGGGAGGAGAGGUGGAACGUCACUCCUAUGACAGGUGGAACGUGACAAACACUGGAGCAGAGAAAAAGAGCAACAGGUUCCUGUGGCUCCUCUCCUCGGACCCCCGCGAGCAAACCGCCAGCUCUCCAUUGCAUUCUGGAUUUCUGCUCACUUGGCUUUUGCUCAGUGUCUCAGGUGCAGCUAGGUUCUAGGGCCCCUUGGAGAAACCGUGAAGAGUUCCAGUCUUGUACCAUGACUCCAAGAAACAAAAUGAGAUCGAGUUCAGCACUGGGAAGGUUAGAGACCUCUGAGGACUGGAGCAUCCUGAAUGCAGCUGCAGUUGUUGCUGAGUCAGUGGUUCCUCGGGCUCCAUCCUGUCUGGCUGGGCUGAGGUCACAGAAGGCAGAAACUCAGAGACCAGCCCCUCCAGACUGGCUGCUGAAGGAGUACCUGAAAGGGCAAAGGAUGAGAAGCCAUUCUGUAGACAUGGAAGACGUAGCCCAGGGGAAAACUCCACCACCUCACGCGGACCUGACCAGGAGCCUGAGGAGAGGAAAGAUUGAACAUCAAGUGACCCUGGAAGAUCUGAAAAAACUAAACAUAGCCUUUCAGGAUGACUUCUGUACCUACCUACAGCUAGAGUAUUCAGAACAGUCUGGCUUAUUGGCCCGGCAGAAAGAGGUUUACUUUGCCAUGCCUGCAUUGUCCCAGGGGCUAUCUCACAGUGGGCCUGUCCUUCGAAUUUUCUCUCUGCCUGAUGAUACUUUAAUCAUGAUGGGAGAACAUGGAGUCAUUUCUUUCUGGUCGCCACAGCUGACAUUGAAAAGAAGAAAGCUGGUUUUCGACAAAGCCAUUAACCGGAAAUCUAAGUGGGUGACGGAUUUUAUAAGCAUGCCACAGUAUAACAAACUGCUCGUUGGGACUGGAGAUCGUGAAAUCCAGCUGUAUGAACUCUCCAAUAUGGAGCCUUAUUGUCAGAUUGGCAGCUUGGAUAGCAUACCUCUGAAACUAGACUACUGUUACGUGGAUCCCGACAAAUGCUUGAUUUUGUAUGGCGAUGACCAGGGAUGCGUGAACAUUCUGUUUUUGGCUUCUGUGGGAGAGCUAUUAAGAACCUGGAAGAAGCUGCCUCCAGUAGAAAACAUGCCAACUGUUAGAAUUGGCAGUGCAUUGUGUUCUCCCAAUGUCAAAUAUGUUCGUUGGAAAGUACACGAAGACUGGGUGACUCAGUGAUUCACCCCUACAGCAGCCUGCUGCCCCACAAGCUUAGGAACUAGUGUGAGCACCCUAAAGGCAGCUCUGCCUGCAACUCACUUCAACCUUUAGGAAGUUUUCCACCACCUUGAACCCA